AGAGUUUGAUCCUGGCUCAGGACGAACGCUGGCGGCGUGCUUAACACAUGCAAGUCGAACGGAAAGGCCUCUUCCUUUUUGGUUGGGGUGCUCGAGUGGCGAACGGGUGAGUAAUACGUGAGUAACCUGCCCUUGUCUUUGGGAUAAGCUUGGGAAACUGGGUCUAAUACCAUAUAUUCUGCCGUCUCCGCAUGGGGGUGGUUGGAAAGUUUUUCGGAUGGGGAUGGGCUCACGGCCUAUCAGUUUGUUGGUGGGGUGAUGGCCUACCAAGACGGUGACGGGUAGCCGGCCUGAGAGGGUGACCGGCCACAUUGGGACUGAGAUACGGCCCAGACUCCUACGGGAGGCAGCAGUGGGGAAUAUUGCACAAUGGACGGAAGUCUGAUGCAGCGACGCCGCGUGGGGGAUGAAGGCUUUCGGGUUGUAAACUCCUUUCAGUACAGAAGAAGCGCAAGUGACGGUAUGUACAGAAGAAGCGCCGGCUAACUACGUGCCAGCAGCCGCGGUAAUACGUAGGGCGCGAGCGUUGUCCGGAAUUAUUGGGCGUAAAGAGCUCGUAGGCGGUUUGUCGCGUCUGCCGUGAAAAUCCAAGGCUUAACUUUGGACGUGCGGUGGGUACGGGCAGACUUGAGUGCGGUAGGGGUAACUGGAAUUCCUGGUGUAGCGGUGGAAUGCGCAGAUAUCAGGAGGAACACCGAUGGCGAAGGCAGGUUACUGGGCCGUUUCUGGCGCUGAGGAGCGAAAGCAUGGGUAGCGAACAGGAUUAGAUACCCUGGUAGUCCAUGCUGUAAACGUUGGGCACUAGGUGUGGGGCCUUUUCCAUGGGUUCUGCGCCGUAGCUAACGCAUUAAGUGCCCCGCCUGG
rnacentral:rRNA from 1 species